AGCCCUGAUAUCCAUCCGAGCCUCUCCCCUUCUCCUCGCAGCCGCGCACCGCCGCCGGUACUCCCGCCGGCGCCGCCCGCGCUCCACCUCCUGUCUCUCCUUUGAUCUGCACCAUACGCCCAGGUCCUCCCUCCUCCGCUUCCCAGGCCUCGCAGCCCCUUCACCUUCCAGCGACCGCGGCGCCAGAUCAGCGGCCCGACUGAGGCGGCGGCGAACCGUAGCCACAACGGGUCGCCGGCGCCCGUCCUCGCCUCGGCUGCCUCCUUGCCUCCUCGGUUUUGCGGCCGUAAGGAGCUGCAUCCAGCCUGGGAUGAGGUCCGGCACAGGGAACCGGCCUGGGGAAAUGGACCGAUGGAGGCCGCGUCGAACCCUAGCCGCAACCGGUCGUUGGCGCCCAUCCCGCGCCGCGGCUGAUCACCCCGAGCUCCCUCCUCGUCUCCUCUGUUUUGCGGCCGAAGGAGAUGCAGCCUGCGUGGGACGAGGUUGGACGUAGUGAACCGGCCCGGCGAAAUGACCCACGGGGGCACCAAGCACGGCGAGGACCAGCCUCCUCCUCUUUCUCUUUGACCUCAAUCAAUGACGCUCUCUACCAUACACCGUGGCCUUUGGCAUUGGCUGGCUUCAUGGAACAUUUUUCACUGGAAAACAUCCAAAUCCAAUGUCGAGAAGCUUGGCGUUGACAAGAUCUGAAGCUCUGCACCAGACUCUCAAGCACUAAAGCAGAACGCAACCACCUUGGCCAUUCCUCCGGUGUGCAUGAUUUGACGCUCUCUACCCUACAUGUACAUGAGCUUCUGUACUCCAGCUUUGUUCAUGGACGACUGGCCUGCAAAAACUCACUCCGACACCUCCUGCGUGGCUUCCCCUGCGCCUCUCGUGGCCACUUUUCUCUGACUCCGGCAUAGACCUCAAUGACACUCUACCUGAGCCGGUGGCCCUCGGCAUCGACCUCGGUGUCAUGAAGAACAUCCAAGAUUAUAUGGUCGAGAAGCUCAGCGUCGACAAGAGCAUCAUCCUAGAGCUCUGCAUCAUCCUCUACAAGCAAGUACCGAACCACCAUGGCCAUGCCACUGGCCAUUGUGCACCAAUUUGACGACGAUGAUUUCCACAG